UUAAGCGACUAAGCGUACACGGUGGAUGCCCUGGCAGUCAGAGGCGAUGAAGGGCGUGCUAAUCUGCGAUAAGCGCCGGUAAGGUGAUAUGAACCGUUAUAACCGGCGAUACCCGAAUGGGGAAACCCAGUGUGAUUCGUCACACUAUCAUUAACUGAAUCCAUAGGUUAAUGAGGCGAACCGGGGGAACUGAAACAUCUAAGUACCCCGAGGAAAAGAAAUCAACCGAGAUUCCCCCAGUAGCGGCGAGCGAACGGGGAGGAGCCCAGAGCCUGAAUCAGCAUGUGUGUUAGUGGAAGCGUCUGGAAAGGCGCGCGAUACAGGGUGACAGCCCCGUACACAAAAGCGCAUGUGCUGUGAGCUCGAUGAGUAGGGCGGGACACGUGGUAUCCUGUCUGAAUAUGGGGGGACCAUCCUCCAAGGCUAAAUACUCCUGACUGACCGAUAGUGAACCAGUACCGUGAGGGAAAGGCGAAAAGAACCCCGGCGAGGGGAGUGAAAAAGAACCUGAAACCGUGUACGUACAAGCAGUGGGAGCCCCACCACUAAGCCAGUGGUGAACUCCACAUACGCAUCCUUUGCUGAAGGCAAUGGUUGGCGGAGCGUAAGCGACGCCCAACACAAAAAACAAGCAGAGGGGCUUAGUGGUGGGGUGACUGCGUACCUUUUGUAUAAUGGGUCAGCGACUUAUAUUCUGUAGCAAGGUUAACCGUAUAGGGGAGCCGCAGGGAAACCGAGUCUUAACCGGGCGUUAAGUUGCAGGGUAUAGACCCGAAACCCGGUGAUCUAGCCAUGGGCAGGUUGAAGGUUGGGUAACACUAACUGGAGGACCGAACCGACUAAUGUUGAAAAAUUAGCGGAUGACCUGUGGCUGGGGGUGAAAGGCCAAUCAAACCGGGAGAUAGCUGGUUCUCCCCCGAAAGCUAUUUAGGUAGCGCCUCGUGAAUUCAUCUCCGGGGGUAGAGCACUGUUUCGGCUAGGGGGCCAUCCCGGCUUACCAACCCGAUGCAAACUGCGAAUACCGGAGAAUGUUACCACGGGAGACACACGGCGGGUGCUAACGUCCGUCGUGAAGAGGGAAACAACCCAGACCGCCAGCUAAGGUCCCAAAGUCAUGGUUAAGUGGGAAACGAUGUGGGAAGGCCCAGACAGCCAGGAUGUUGGCUUAGAAGCAGCCAUCAUUUAAAGAAAGCGUAAUAGCUCACUGGUCGAGUCGGCCUGCGCGGAAGAUGUAACGGGGCUAAACCAUGCACCGAAGCUGCGGCAGCGAACGUAUCACCCCAAGACAACUUUACGGAGUUGACGAUUGACGGAGCGAAGCGACGUCAAAGCGUUCAUUAAAGUCGAGUUGGCUUAGGGAUACGUUCGUUGGGUAGGGGAGCGUUCUGUAAGCCUGUGAAGGUGGCCUGUGAGGGUUGCUGGAGGUAUCAGAAGUGCGAAUGCUGACAUAAGUAACGAUAAAGCGGGUGAAAAGCCCGCUCGCCGGAAGACCAAGGGUUCCUGUCCAACGUUAAUCGGGGCAGGGUGAGUCGACCCCUAAGGCGAGGCCGAAAGGCGUAGUCGAUGGGAAACGGGUUAAUAUUCCCGUACUUGGUGUUACUGCGAAGGGGGGACGGAGAAGGCUAUGUUGGCCGGGCGACGGUUGUCCCGGUUUAAGCGUGUAGGUGUGUGUUCCAGGUAAAUCCGGUUCACUUUAACACUGAGGCGUGACGACGAGGCACUACGGUGCUGAAGCAACAAAUGCCCUGCUUCCAGGAAAAGCCUCUAAGCAUCAGGUAACAUCAAAUCGUACCCCAAACCGACACAGGUGGUCUGGUAGAGAAUACCAAGGCGCUUGAGAGAACUCGGGUGAAGGAACUAGGCAAAAUGGUGCCGUAACUUCGGGAGAAGGCACGCUGACAUGUAGGUGAAGUGAUUUACUCAUGGAGCUGAAGUCAGUCGAAGAUACCAGCUGGCUGCAACUGUUUAUUAAAAACACAGCACUGUGCAAACACGAAAGUGGACGUAUACGGUGUGACGCCUGCCCGGUGCCGGAAGGUUAAUUGAUGGGGUCAGCGCAAGCGAAGCUCCUGAUCGAAGCCCCGGUAAACGGCGGCCGUAACUAUAACGGUCCUAAGGUAGCGAAAUUCCUUGUCGGGUAAGUUCCGACCUGCACGAAUGGCGUAAUGAUGGCCAGGCUGUCUCCACCCGAGACUCAGUGAAAUUGAACUCGCUGUGAAGAUGCAGUGUACCCGCGGCAAGACGGAAAGACCCCGUGAACCUUUACUAUAGCUUGACACUGAACAUUGAGCCUUGAUGUGUAGGAUAGGUGGGAGGCUUUGAAGUGUGGACGCCAGUCUGCAUGGAGCCGACCUUGAAAUACCACCCUUUAAUGUUUGAUGUUCUAACGUGGACCCGUAAUCCGGGUUGCGGACAGUGUCUGGUGGGUAGUUUGACUGGGGCGGUCUCCUCCUAAAGAGUAACGGAGGAGCACGAAGGUUGGCUAAUCCUGGUCGGACAUCAGGAGGUUAGUGCAAUGGCAUAAGCCAGCUUGACUGCGAGCGUGACGGCGCGAGCAGGUGCGAAAGCAGGUCAUAGUGAUCCGGUGGUUCUGAAUGGAAGGGCCAUCGCUCAACGGAUAAAAGGUACUCCGGGGAUAACAGGCUGAUACCGCCCAAGAGUUCAUAUCGACGGCGGUGUUUGGCACCUCGAUGUCGGCUCAUCACAUCCUGGGGCUGAAGUAGGUCCCAAGGGUAUGGCUGUUCGCCAUUUAAAGUGGUACGCGAGCUGGGUUUAGAACGUCGUGAGACAGUUCGGUCCCUAUCUGCCGUGGGCGCUGGAGAACUGAGGGGGGCUGCUCCUAGUACGAGAGGACCGGAGUGGACGCAUCACUGGUGUUCGGGUUGUCAUGCCAAUGGCACUGCCCGGUAGCUAAAUGCGGAAGAGAUAAGUGCUGAAAGCAUCUAAGCACGAAACUUGCCCCGAGAUGAGUUCUCCCUGAGACUUAGAGUCUCCUGAAGGAACGUUGAAGACGACGACGUUGAUAGGCCGGGUGUGUAAGCGCAGCGAUGCGUUGAGCUAACCGGUACUAAUGAACCGUGAGGCUUAACCUU
rnacentral:rRNA from 1 species